UAACGCGAAGAACCUUACCAAGGCUUGACAUACACCGGAAACGGCCAGAGAUGGUCGCCCCCUUGUGGUCGGUGUACAGGUGGUGCAUGGUUGUCGUCAGCUCGUGUCGUGAGAUGUUGGGUUAAGUCCCGCAACGAGCACAACCCUCGUUUUAUGUUGCCAGCGCGUUAUGGCGGGGACUCAUAGGAGACUGCCGGGGUCAACUCGGAGGAAGGUGGGGAUGACGUCAAAUCAUCAUGCCCCUUAUGUCUUGGGCUUCACGCAUGCUACAAUGGCCGGUACAAAGGGCUGCGAUACCGUAAGGUGGAGCGAAUCCCAAAAAGCCGGUCUCAGUUCGGAUUGAGGUCUGCAACUCGACCUCAUGAAGUCGGAGUCGCUAGUAAUCGCAGAUCAGCA
rnacentral:rRNA from 1 species